ensembl:lncRNA
GCAGAAUGUUAUUUGACGUUUAAGCACAUAAUUGAAUGCUUUAGCACGUUCUUGAACAUAGUAUAUUUCUCUGCAAACCCACAGUGGGGUUCAUGUGUACAAGACAGCCAUGUUAAACUGACCUUUUGCUACUUCAGCAAAAGUACUUUAGGUACGUUAUUCAAGUCUUUCACUGGUCGGUUAUUCACAGCCCUGUAGUAACACUGAUGAGGUGGUGCAGAAGAGCUGCUGGACAAUAACCCCGCAGUGUGACUGUUAGACAGAAUAGUCCACAAACCAGAAAUAUUCAGCCAGCAGCGUCCUGUGGGAACGUAGAGGAAGACCAACAGAAACUGCAGCAACAGAUGAGCUACUGUCUCUGAUCUAAAAGGUGGAGCAGGUAGGUAGGAGUGUCUAAUAGAGUGGAGGACAGAGAAUGAACACUGUUUAAAAACUCCAGCAGCACAGCCCAGGGCCACUGCAGUGCUGUUAACAACCAAUCACCUAAAUAAUAACUGCUCUGUGGUGGUCACUUACUACAUAGUCACUAUCUCAAGUGGAAAAUCUGAGGGUUUAAAUGUACUACUGAGAUCAAACAGCACUUCAAAAUAGUUGACACACUACAGAGUGCACUAUUUCUGUUAUAGGGAUAGAUUCCAAAUGCAGCUGUAGACUCUUUUUGGCCACUCUUGAAUUAUCUGUUGAGAGCUUUCAGAUCCAACAAAAUAUCAGACCCAGGUGUGCUGGAGCAAAAGCAAUUCUUUAACACAGAACACGAGAAACAUUGAACGUUCCUGCUCUGGCUCAUGCCACUUCAUUUCUUUGAUCUAUCCUUUAACCAGCAAAUAUAUAUUUUUUUUAAAUCACUCAAAGAAAUUUUUGUUUUUUUAGUCUGUGGAUCUCGCUCUCGGGUUCGCGACCGUGUCACGUGAUCGUCGUGAACGCGCAUCGCUUCAUAAACAACAUGGAGGGUCUGAGGCAGAGAGAGGGGCUCAUAAAAGCGGAUUAGAGGAGCGGGGGAGCGAGCUGUCAGCCGGGGGUCGGGUUUGUAUGAGUACAGGGAGCGGUACCGCAGGUGUCCGGGAGUAACAGUGGACGCGGAGAGCUGAGAGACUGCAGAGUGACGGUAGGCCCGUUAGCACGGCGCUAACACUCACAUUAUAAACAGAUAAAGACAGCGGCGGCGGAGGGGGGCAUAUAAACACUGUGUCACAGCGGUGAACAGUGAACUGGGGGCUGUAAACACAGGUCACUAGCGGGGUGUGUGACAGUGGGCUGUGAGCUGACCUGUGUCCUGUCCAGUUUAAGUCUGUGGGGCAUGUUUUCGUCCUUGGUUCCUUAAUCGCCGGUUUCUUAUUGGAUCUGUCCCUUCCACCUUAAAUGGUACGGCUGCUGUGUUCUUCUGAACGCCAGAAUGUAACUCCUGGUCCAUUUAAGGUGGAAUAGACGAUUCCAAUAAGAAGCCAACGUUCAGGGUCAACAUAAUGUAUGUAUGUCUGCCCAUGACACUGCCUGUGUGAAAUGCUGAUCAUAGUCUAAACCAGUCCACCCUGCUCUCAUUUCUUUCUCG